AGAGUUUGAUCCUGGCUCAGAAUCAACGCUGGCGGCGUGCCUAACACAUGCAAGUCGAACGAGAAAGCCGACUUCGGUUGGUGAGUAAAGUGGCGAACGGGUGAGUAACGCGUGGGUAAUCUGCCCAUUGGUUGGGGGAUAACUUGCCGAAAGGUGAGCUAAUACCGCAUAAGCUCUACGGAGGAAAGCCUUCGGGCGCCGAUGGAGGAGCCCGCGUCCGAUUAGCUGGUUGGUAGGGUAAGAGCCUACCAAGGCGACGAUUGGUAGCCGGUCUGAGAGGACGGACGGCCACACUGGGACUGAGACACGGCCCAGACUCCUACGGGAGGCAGCAGUGGGGAAUUUUGGGCAAUGGGCGCAAGCCUGACCCAGCAACGCCGCGUGGAGGAUGAAGGUUUUCGGAUCGUAAACUCCUGUCCAGAGGGACGAAGCAAGUGACGGUACCUCUGGAGGAAGCCCCGGCUAACUCCGUGCCAGCAGCCGCGGUAAUACGGGGGGGGCCAGCGUUGUUCGGAAUUACUGGGCGUAAAGGGCGCGUAGGCGGCUUCGGAAGUCAUGGGUGAAAGCCCCGGGCUCAACUCGGGAAUAGCCUGUGAAACCACGGAGCUGGAGUGCUGGAGAGGAAAGCGGAAUUCCCAGUGUAGCGGUGAAAUGCGUAGAUAUUGGGAGGAACACCUGUGGCGAAGGCGGCUUUCUGGACAGACACUGACGCUGAGGCGCGAAAGCCAGGGGAGCGAACGGGAUUAGAUACCCCGGUAGUCCUGGCUGUAAACGAUGAACACUUGGUGUGGGGGGUAUUGAUUCCCUCUGUGCCGGCGAAAACUCAUUAAGUGUUCCGCCUGGGGAGUACGGCCGCAAGGCUGAAACUCAAAGGAAUUGACGGGGGCCCGCACAAGCGGUGGAGCAUGUGGUUUAAUUCGACGCAACGCGAAGAACCUUACCGGGGUUUGAACCGGCCGGGCGACCUGCAGAGAUGUGGGGUUCCUUUCGGGGACUCGGCUGGAGGUGCUGCAUGGCUGUCGUCAGCUCGUGUCGUGAGAUGUUGGGUUAAGUCCCGCAACGAGCGCAACCCUUGUCUGUAGUUGCCACCAGGUUAAGCUGGGCACUCUACGGAGACUGUCGGCGAAAAGCCGGAGGAAGGUGGGGAUGACGUCAAGUCCUCAUGGCCUUUAUGUCCCGGGCUACACACGUGCUACAAUGGGCGGUACAGAGGGCAGCGACCCUGCAAAGGCAAGCGAAUCCCAGAAAACCGCUCUCAGUUCGGAUUGCAGUCUGCAACUCGACUGCAUGAAGUUGGAAUCGCUAGUAAUCGCGGAUCAGAACGCCGCGGUGAAUACGUUCCCGGGCCUUGUACACACCGCCCGUCACAUCACGAAAGUGGGCUGUACUAGAAGCCGCCGGCCUAACCCUUCGGGGAGGGAGGCGUCGACGGUAUGGCUCAUGAUUGGGGUGAAGUCGUAACAAGGUAACC
rnacentral:rRNA from 1 species